AGAAAAGAGACUGCGGUCUCUGAGUACAGUGGCGCACGGGUGCGUAACACGUAAGUAAUCUGCCCCGAACCCUGGGAUAACCCUCCGAAAGGAGGGCUAAGACCAGAUAGGGUCCCCGAGGUUCAGGCCGCGGGGGGAAAACGGGCCUCUGAGCCAUGCUCGUGGUUCGGGAUGAGCUUGCGGCCCAUUAGCUGGUUGGUAGGGUAAGGGCCUACCAAGGCGACGAUGGGUAGCUGGUCUGAGAGGAUGAUCAGCCACACUGGCACUGAGACACGGGCCAGACUCCUACGGGAGGCAGCAGUGGGGAAUUUUGCGCAAUGGGCGAAAGCCUGACGCAGUAACGCCGCGUGGAGGAUGAAGGCCUUCGGGUUGUAAACUCCUGUCAGGAGGAACGACGCAGCUCGGCUGACAACGCCGUGCCUACAGACGGUACCUCCAAAGGAAGCCCCGGCUAAUUCCGUGCCAGCAGCCGCGGUAAUACGGAAGGGGCGAGCGUUGUUCGGAAUCAUUGGGCGUAAAGGGCGCGUAGGUGGUGCUGUAUGUCUCCCGUGAAAGCCCACGGCUCAACCGUGGCGUGUCGGGAGAAACUGCAGGACUUGAGGCUGGGAGGGGCUGGUGGAAUUCCCUGUGUAGCGGUGAAAUGCGUAGAGAUGGGGGAGAACACUCGUGGCGAAGGCGGCCAGCUAGACCAGUUCUGACACUGAGGCGCGACAGCGUGGGGAGCAAACAGGAUUAGAUACCCUGGUAGUCCACGCUGUAAACGAUGGGCACUAGGUGCCGGCGGU
rnacentral:rRNA from 1 species